AUAAACCCUAAAUUUCAGAUACGGAAAUGUCGCUUUGAUACACGAGAACACCUCCCCUUCAAAUCUAGCCCAUAAGAAAUGGAACUCAACGUUCUCCGGACAAGUCGAGUGCUGAAGGAUCGACAACACCGCCGCCAUUGUUCCUCUCAGACAAACUCAUCACAAGUCUGACAUCAAGAAGAACAAGUAAUUCAGAGAAUAACAAGGAGUUUCCAGUCAUAUGUUUAGGACGUCCGUUGUCAAAAUACCAAUCAUUUGAGUUAUCGACAUGAAUUGAGGUAAACGCCACAACACUUAAGUUAUGCUUCUCUUUGUUCUUUACUCUCCAUACAUGGUUUUGACAGGGAGACUUGAAUUACUCAACAAGACUUUCUUGCUACUUUUAUCAUUCAGCCUUCUAUGAUUUGGAUCGAAUAUAUCCAUGAAACUUGUAACAAAAUGGUCGAAUAUGACAAACUUUUCCACAAAAAUGGCAUAUGCACCUUUUUGAAGAAUUUUGACUAGACUGUGUAGAUUACUUGCACCAUGCAACAACUCAGCAAUUUCUUCACAUUUACUCUUGCUAUCAGAGGCUCUAACAAACACUACUGAGGAACCUUUAACCUAAGAGUCUUUUUCCAGAAAAACGAAGACUCUUUUUUCUUAUCUCCCUUACUCUUCCUUUCACUCAGAAGAUUGUCCAAACUCUGAGUUCGAGAGUCUUGGUUGUCAACAGAAGUCGUCGAAGUAGUGGUUGGAGGUUGAUGACAACAACUGUUGGAGAUGAUAAUUGAAGGUAUGCCGGUAGGUCGUUCGAAAAAGUGGUUGAAGGUGGACUGACGAUGAUUGUCUAAAGUGGUGGAAAGAGGUUGGUCGACAGAUGUCGUUGGUGAUUGUAGUCGAAGGUUAGCCAAUGAUAGUUGCUAGAGUUUUUCAUACACUAACAUUAUCUACCUAUUAAACCCUCAAAAUACAUUUUUCUAAAAGUUGGUUUCAAGUAUUUAUCUUCAAAGUUCAUUUUAAGUUA